rnacentral:rRNA from 1 species
UACGGAGGAUCCAAGCGUUAUCCGGAUUUAUUGGGUUUAAAGGGUGCGUAGGUGGCCUAUUAAGUCAGGGGUGAAAGACGGUAGCUUAACUAUCGCAGUGCCUUUGAUACUGAUGGGCUUGAAUACAGUUGAAGUGGGCGGAAUGUGACAAGUAGCGGUGAAAUGCAUAGAUAUGUCACAGAACACCGAUUGCGAAGGCA